UCGACAGAGAGCUUGAGCUGUGCUACUUUAUGUCCCAGCUGCAGGUCUCUGAUGGGGUGGCCGCUGGAAGGGCGGGUUGUGGGCCAGGACCAGGGCUGUCUGUACCUGUUUGGUGCCAAGGGCACUGACUCGCUUGGGAUGGAGUAUCUGUCAGCCAAGCCCUUACAGGAGAUUCUGGAAACUUCAACUGGAUGCAUCCCAAAAACUGAAUUAUUUUUCGAGUUUCCAACUCCCUCGGAUCCUCAUUUGGAAGGAAGAUGGGACAAAAUGGUGGAAAAGCUGAAAUUUAUGUCUUUGGAAUCCGAGGCAUUAACCGUUGUAAAUCAGCCUUUGGUGCCCAAAGGUGGAAUUCUGGCCUUUCAGCUUCUGGGAUCCUGGUUUGUAGAAAGAAUCCAUGCAGGAUUUGGAUUCAGUGGGGCUGGUGGAAUAGUCUUAACUGCAUCGGUAGCUAAAGAACAAGCGGGGAGGCCUUGGGAAGGUCUCAGAACUUCUUCCCUGUUUGUCUGCCAAGGGCUCCAUAGUUUCUGCCUGAGACAGUGCUGGGAGGGUGCGUCCCGCUGAGCCCCUGGCGCAGAGCAGGGGUUCACAGCGUACUUUUUGAGUGAAUGAAUGUAAAAGAAAAGGUAUCUAUUGCUGUAGCACAAGAGCGGGGCAUCCACCCUCCUGGAUCCGUUGAAUUCUUUCCCUGCGAUUUCCUCAGCUGUAAGAAACCAAAGGCUUCAGCAAAGCUCAGCUCAGAGAAGCUGCUGUGAUGCCCGGAGGGUGCACAGAACGGCACCCAGCAGGCAAUUAGCUUCCCACACUUGUUUCCAGCUCCUAGCAGCUUCACCAGACUGACUGUCAGAGUGUUACCCCUUGCUUUUUUUGUUUGCUUUUGUGGUGGUAAAGUAUGCGUAAUAUAAAACUUACCAUCUUGUCCACUUUUAAGUGUCCAGUUCAGUGAAAUUAAGUACACUUGCAUGACUGCGCAACCACCGCCACCCUCUAUCUCCGCAUCUCUCGCAUCCUUCCUGUAACCAGGAAAUAAUAACCCUUCCUCUCCCUUCACCCAGCCCUUGGUUACCUCUCAUGUUUCCUGUGUCUACGAUUUGACUGUUCUGGGUAACUUCCGAUAUGUGGCAUCAUAAAAUACUUUUCCUUUUGGGCUUGUCUUAUUUCACUUGGGACAAUGACUUUAGGGUUCAUCUGUGCGUGGCAUGUGUCAGAGUCUCAUUUGUUUUUCUUUUCUUUUUUUUUUCUUGUUUUUUUUUUUUCUUUUUAGGGCUGCA